rnacentral:rRNA from 1 species
GUGGGGAAUAUUGGACAAUGGGCGAAAGCCUGAUCCAGCCAUGCCGCGUGAGUGAUGAAGGCCCUAGGGUUGUAAAAUUCUUUCACCGGGGACGAUAAUGACGGUACCCGGAGAAGAAGCCCCGGCUAACUUCGUGCCAGCAGCCGCGGUAAUACGAAGGGGGCUAGCGUUGCUCGGAAUUACUGGGCGUAAAGGGCGCGUAGGCGGACAGUUUAGUCAGAGGUGAAAGCCCAGGGCUCAACCUUGGAAUUGCCUUUGAUACUGGCUGUCUUGAGUACGGGAGAGGGGAGUGGAACUCCGAGUGUAGAGGUGAAAUUCGUAGAUAUUCGGAAGAACACCAGUGGCGAAGGCGACUCACUGGCCCGUUACUGACGCUGAGGCGCGAAAGCGUGGGGAGCAAAUAGGAUUAGAAACCCUUGUAGUCC